rnacentral:rRNA from 1 species
GAACGUACGCUGGCGGCACGCCUAACGCAUGCAAGUCGAACGAAGUAGCAAUACUUAGUGGCAGACGGGUGAGUAACAUGUAGGUAUCUGCCCUUUGGCCUGGAAUAACACGAGGAAACUUGUGCUAAUACCGGAUAAGUCUUUACGGAGAAAGCUUUAUGCACCAUUGGAUGAGCCUGCACUUGAUUAGUUUGUUGGUGGGGUAAUGGCCUACCAAGACUGUGAUCAAUAGCUGAUUUGAGAGGAUGAUCAGCCACAUUGGGACUGAGACACGGCCCAAACUCCUACGGGAGGCAGCAGUGGGGAAUCUUGCACAAUGGAGGAAACUCUGAUGCGGCGAUGCCGCGUGAGUGAAGAAGGCCCUUGGGUUGUAAAGCUCUUUCGUCGGGGAAGAAAAUGACUGUACCCGAAUAAGAAGGUCCGGCUAACUUCGUGCCAGUAGCCGCGGUAAUACGAAGGGACCUAGCGUAGUUCGGAAUUACUGGGCUUAAAGAGUUCGUAGGUGGUUGAAAAAGUUGGUGGUGAAAUCCCAGAGCUUAACUCUGGAACUGCCAUCAAAACUUUUCAGCUAGAGUAUGAUAGAGGAAAGCAGAAUUUCUAGUGUAGAGGUGAAAUUCGUAGAUAUUAGAAGAAUACCAAUUGCGAAGGCAGCUUUCUGGAUCAUUACUGACACUGAGGAACGAAAGCAUGGGUAGCGAAGAGGAUUAGAUACCCUCGUAGUCCAUGCCGUAAACGAUGUGUGUUAGACGUUGGAAAUUUAUUUUCAGUGUCGCAGCGAAAGCGAUAAACACACCGCCUGGGGAGUACGACCGCAAGGUUAAAACUCAAAUGAAUUGACGGGGACCCGCACAAGUAGUGGAGCAUGUGGUUUAAUUCGAAGAUACGCGCAGAACCUUACCAACACUUGACAUGUUCGUCGCGACUUUAAGAGAUUAAAGUUUUCGGUUCGGCCGGACGAAACACAGGUGCUGCAUGGCUGUCGUCAGCUCGUGUCGUGAGAUGUUGGGUUAAGUCCCGCAACGAGCGCAACCCUCACUUUUAGUUGCCAUCAUUAAGUUGGGCACUCUGAAAGAACUGCCAGUGAUAAGCUGGAGGAAGGUGGGGAUGACGUCAAGUCCUCAUGGCCCUUACGUGUUGGGCUACACACGUGCUACAAUGGUAUCUACAACAGGAAGCAAGACGGCGACGUCAAGCAAAUCCUUAAAAGAUACCUCAGUUCGGAUUGCACUCUGCAACUCGAGUGCAUGAAGCUGGAAUUACUAGUAAUCGUGGAUCAGCGUGCCACGGUGAAUGCGUUCCCGGGUCUUGUACACACCGCCCGUCACACCAUGGGAGUUGGUUCUACCUUAAGGCAAGGUUUAAAACCCUUGACCACGGUAUAGUCAGCGACUGGGGU